rnacentral:rRNA from 1 species
UUUCCGGUUGAUCCUGGCGGACCCGACUGCUAUCGGAUUGAGAUUUAGCCAUGCGAGUCGAACGUCCCCCUGUUGCGGGGGGCGUGGCGUACGGCUCAGUAACACGUAGUCAACCUGCCCUGGAGACAAGGACAACCCCGGGAAACUGGGAUUAAUCCUUGAUAGGUCAUCUCAUCUGGAAGGAGAGAUGGCUUAAAGGGGUACGCGGGCUUCUUCCGCGAAUUCGCUCCAGGAUGGGACUGCGUCCGAUCAGGCUGUUGGCGGGGUAAUGGCCCACCAAACCUGUAACCGGUACGGGCCUUGAGAGAGGUGGCCCGGAGAUGGACACUGAGAGAAGGGUCCAGGUCCUACGGGGCGCAGCAGGCGCGAAACCUUCGCAAUGCGCGAAAGCGUGACGAGGUUAAUCCGAGUGACUCCCGCUGAGGGGGUCUUUUGUCAGCUGUAAAUAGGCAGGCGAAUAAGGGGAGGGCAAGCCUGGUGUCAGCCGCCGCGGUAAUACCAGCUCCUCGAGUGGUUGGGGCGAUUAUUGGGCCUAAAGCAUCCGUAGCCGGUUCCGUAGGUCCUCUGUUAAAUCCAACCGCUUAACGGUUGACCUGCAGAGGAUACCGCGGGACUAGGAGGCGGGAGAGGCGGACGGUACUCCGCGUGUAGGGGUAAAAUCCUUUGAUCCGCGGAAGANCACCAGUGGCGAANGCGGUCCGCCAGAACGCGCUCGACGGUGA